AUUGAACGCUGGCGGCAUGCCUUACACAUGCAAGUCGAACGGUAACAGGUCUUCGGAUGCUGACGAGUGGCGAACGGGUGAGUAAUACAUCGGAACGUGCCUAGUAGUGGGGGAUAACUACUCGAAAGAGUGGCUAAUACCGCAUGAGAUCUACGGAUGAAAGCAGGGGAUCGCAAGAACUUGGUCUACUAGAGCGGCCGAUGGCAGAUUAGGUAGUUGGUGGGAUAAAAGCUUACCAAGCCGACGAUCUGUAGCUGGUUUGAGAGGACGAUCAGCCACACUGGGACUGAGACACGGCCCAGACUCCUACGGGAGGCAGCAGUGGGGAAUUUUGGACAAUGGGCGAAAGCCUGAUCCAGCAAUGCCGCGUGCAGGAUGAAGGCCUUCGGGUUGUAAACUGCUUUUGUACGGAACGAAAAGCCCCGGGUUAAUACCCUGGGGUCAUGACGGUACCGUAAGAAUAAGCACCGGCUAACUACGUGCCAGCAGCCGCCGUAA
rnacentral:rRNA from 1 species